rnacentral:rRNA from 1 species
AUUGAACGCUGGCGGCAGGCCUAACACAUGCAAGUCGAGCGAGCGGCGGACGUGUGAGUAAUGUAUGGGGAUGUGCCCGAGAGAGGGGGAUAACUACGGGACACGGUGGCUAAUACCGCAUACUAUCGUGUGCACACAUAUGGGAUUAGCGAGUAGGUGGGGUAAAGGCUCACCUAGGCGACGAUCUCUAGCUGGUCUGAGAGGAUGAACAGCCACACUGGGACUGAGACACGGCCCAGACUCCUACGGGAGGCAGCAGUGGGGAAUAUUGCACAAUGGGCGCAAGCCUGAUGCAGCCAUGCCGCGUGUAUGAAGAAGGCCUUAGGGUUGUAAAGUACUUUCAGCGGGGAGGCGUUACCCGCAGAAGAAGCACCGGCUAACUCCGUGCCAGCAGCCGCGGUAAUAC